UCCGGUGGCUAUAGCGGAGGGGUCACACCCGUUCCCAUCCCGAACACGGAAGUUAAGCCCUCCCGCGCUGAUGGUACCUGGGGCGCAAGCCCCCGGAAGAGUAAGUCGCCGCCGGAA
rnacentral:rRNA from 1 species